AGUGAACGCUGGCGGUAGGCCUAACACAUGCAAGUCGAACGGCAGCACAGUAAGAGCUUGCUCUUACGGGUGGCGAGUGGCGGACGGGUGAGGAAUACAUCGGAAUCUACUUUUUCGUGGGGGCUAACGUCGGGAAACUUACGCUAAUACCGCAUACGACCUACGGGUGAAAGCAGGGGAUCUUUGGACCUUGUGCGAUUGAAUGAGCCGAUGUCGGAUUAGCUAGUUGGCGGGGUAAAGGCCCACCAAGGCGACGAUCCGUAGCUGGUCUGAGAGGGUGAUCAGCCACACUGGAAGUGAGACACGGUCCAGACUCCUACAGGAGGCAGCAGUGGGGAAUAUUGGACGAUGGGCGCAAGCCUGAUCCAGCCAUACCGCGUGGGGGAAGAAGGCCUUCGGGUUGUAAAGCCCUUUUGUUGGGAAAGAAAAGCAGCAGGUUAAUACCCCGCUGUUCUGACGGUACCCAAAGAAUAAGCACCGGCUAACUUCGUG
rnacentral:rRNA from 1 species